rnacentral:rRNA from 1 species
UACAGAGGUCCCAAGCGUUGUUCGGAUUCACUGGGCGUAAAGGGUGCGUAGGUGGCCAGGUAAGUUCGGUGUGAAAGCUCGGAGCUUAACUCCGAAAUGUCAUUGAAUACUAUCUGGCUGGAGGGUCGGAGGGGAGACUGGAAUUCUCGGUGUAGCAGUGAAAUGCGUAGAUAUCGAGAGGAACACCAGUGGCGAAGGCGAGUCUCUGGGCCGAAAUUGACGCUGAGGAGCGAAAGCGUGGGGAGCAAACAGG